AGAGGUGGCAAGCGUUGUUCGGAAUUACUGGGCGUAAAGGGCGCGUAGGUGGUCUGGUCAGUCAGACGUGAAAUCCCCAGGCUUAACUUGGGAACUGCGUCUGAUACUACAAGACUCGAGUUCGGGAGAGGGAUGUGGAAUUCCAGGUGUAGCGGUGAAAUGCGUAGAUAUCUGGAGGAACACCGGUGGCGAAGGCGGCAUCCUGGACCGAAACUGACACUGAUGCGCGAAAGCCAGGGGAGCAAACGGGAUUAGAUACCCCGGUAGUCCUGGCCCUAAACGAUGAGUGCUUGGUGUGGCGGGUAUCGAUCCCUGCCGUGCCGAAGCUAACGCAUUAAGCACUCCGCCUGGGGAGUACGGUCGCAAGGCUGAA
rnacentral:rRNA from 1 species